GAUGAACGCUGGCGGCGUGCCUAAUACAUGCCAGUCGAGCGAACAGACGAGGAGCUUGCUCCUCUGACGUUAGCGGCGGACGGGUGAGUAACACGUGGAUACCUACCUAUAAGACUGGGAUAACUUCGGGAAACCGGAGCUAAUACCGGAUAAUAUAUUGAACCGCAUGGUUCAAUAGUGAAAGACGGUUUUGCUGUCACUUAUAGAUGGAUCCGCGCCGCAUUAGCUAGUUGGUAAGGUAACGGCUUACCAAGGCAACGAUGCGUAGCCGACCUGAGAGGGUGAUCGGCCACACUGGAACUGAGACACGGUCCAGACUCCUACGGGAGGCAGCAGUAGGGAAUCUUCCGCAAUGGGCGAAAGCCUGACGGAGCAACGCCGCGUGAGUGAUGAAGGUCUUCGGAUCGUAAAACUCUGUUAUUAGGGAAGAACAAAUGUGUAAGUAACUAUGCACGUCUUGACGGUACCUAAUCAGAAAGCCACGGCUAACUACGUG
rnacentral:rRNA from 1 species